ensembl:snoRNA small nucleolar RNA SNORA5
UGCAGCUUGGUCAAAUUCAGUGUGUUUUUCACAGUGGACCUCACUGGCCAAAAUGGCUGCCACAGAGAUUGUAGUUCAUGGGCCCCACAUCUUUCAAUAUAGGCAGUGGGGAUAAAAAUGUACUACAGACAAAU